UACGUAGGGUGCAAGCGUUGUCCGGAAUUAUUGGGCGUAAAGAGCUCGUAGGCGGUUUGUCACGUCGGAUGUGAAACCCUGAGGCUCAACCUCAGGCCUGCAUUCGAUACGGGCAGACUAGAAUUCGGCAGGGGGAGACUGGAAUUCCUGGUGUAGCGGUGAAAUGCGCAGAUAUCAGGAGGAACACCGGUGGCGAAGGCGGGGUCUCUGGGGCCGAUAUUGACGUGAGGAGCGAAAAGCGUGGGGGAGCAAAACAGG
rnacentral:rRNA from 1 species